rnacentral:rRNA from 1 species
GAUGAACGCUGGCGGCGUGCCUAAUACAUGCAAGUCGAGCGAACGGACGAGAAGCUUGCUUCUCUGAUGUUAGCGGCGGACGGGUGAGUAACACGUGGAUAACCUACCUAUAAGACUGGGACAACUUCGGGAAACCGUAGCUAAUACCGGAUAAUAUUUUGAACCGCAUGGUUCAAAAGUGAAAGACGGUCUUGCUGUCACUUAUAGAUGGAUCCGCGCUGCAUUAGCUAGUUGGUAAGGUAACGGCUUACCAAGGCAACGAUGCAUAGCCGACCUGAGAGGGUGAUCGGCCACACUGGAACUGAGACACGGUCCAGACUCCUACGGGAGGCAGCAGUAGGGAAUCUUCCGCAAUGGGCGAAAGCCUGACGGAGCAACGCCGCGUGAGUGAUGAAGGUCUUCGGAUCGUAAAACUCUGUUAUUAGGGAAGAACAUAUGUGUAAGUAACUGUGCACAUCUUGACGGCACCUAAUCAGAAAGCCACGGCUAACUACGUG